GACGAACGCUGGCGGCGUGCUUAACACAUGCAAGUCGAGCGAGCGGCGAACGGGUGAGUAACGCGUGAGGAACCUGCCUUUCACAGGGGAAUAACACUGGGAAACCAGUGCUAAUACCGCAUAGUGAAAGAUGGCCUCGCGCCUGAUUAGCUAGUAGGUGAGGUAACGGCUCACCUAGGUGAUGAUCAGUAGCCGGACUGAAGGUUGAUCGGCCGCAUUGGGACUGAGACACGGCCCAGACUCCUACGGGAGGCAGCAGUGGGGAAUAUUGGGCAAUGGCGCAAGCCUGACCCAGCAACGCCGCGUGAAGGAAGACGGUCUUCGGAUUGUAAACUUCUUUAGACAGGGACGCGGUACCUGUAGAAUAAGCCACGGCUAACUACGUGCCAGCAGCCGCGGUAAUUC
rnacentral:rRNA from 1 species